rnacentral:rRNA from 1 species
GAUGAACGCUGGCGGCGUGCCUAAUACAUGCAAGUCGAGCGAACAGACGAGUAGCUUUCUCCUCUGACGUUAGCGGCGGACGGGUGAGUAACACGUGGAUAACCUACCUAUAAGACUGGGAUCACUUCGGGAAACCGGAGCUAAUACCGGAUAAUAUAUUGAACCGCAUGGUUCAAUAGUGAAAGACGGUUUUGCUGUCACUUAUAGAUGGAUCCGCGCCGCAUUAGCUAGUUGGUAAGGUAACGGCUUACCAAGGCAACGAUGCGUAGCCGACCUGAGAGGGUGAUCGGCCACACUGGAACUGAGACACGGUCCAGACUCCUACGGGAGGCAGCAGUAGGGAAUCUUCCGCAAUGGGCGAAAGCCUGACGGAGCAACGCCGCGUGAGUGAUGAAGGUCUUCGGAUCGUAAAACUCUGUUAUUAGGGAAGAACAAAUGUGUAAGUAACUAUGCACGUCUUGACGGUACCUAAUCAGAAAGCCACGGCUAACUACGUG